rnacentral:rRNA from 1 species
CUCAUUUUGUAUAUAUAUAAGUUAUGAUAUGGGUUACUACUUGUAGUAUUGCCUAUACAUUCUUGUAUAUUUGAUUGCAAAGUGUUGUCGGCGUGCACUUCUCCCCUAGUAGGACGUCGCGACCCGUUGAGUGUCGGUCUACGGCCCAAGUGGUAGCCUUUGAUUUUUACAAAUUAAAGACCCUUGGUGUUUCCUGGCUGGCUACCCGGCGGUAUUCGUACGGUAUUAAGCCGCAUUUAUGCGUUCAUAUCCGUCGCAAGCUAGGUCAAUUUUUGGUAGUACGGACCUAGUGCCGUCGUCAUAAUUGAUCAGCUGUUGGUUGUACGGUAUUCUAGAACUGGCUUUUAUACCGGUCAGCGAUGCGUUCAGCUUUGGGUACUUUUCAGGACC